rnacentral:lncRNA from 1 species
GUGCAAAUGUGCUUGCAGGCGAUCCAACACGUGCUAAAUAAACGGCUGCAAGCGGUCCUGCACACUUUAAAUUAACACCUACAGCUGCUAACUAUACACGCUAACUUUUGUCUUUGAAAAUUGUUGUUACUGAAUCAUAAAGCUUAUCAGCUAGUUUACAGUGGAAGGAUCUGUUUCUCAUCACUGGCUAUAAAAUUCAGAUAACAAUCUAGCACCAGGAUCAGCAGUGCUUAGCAUAAACUAAGUCAGAUACAGGCUAGCUAAUUUAGCUAACGUCGGUAGCCUCGAACCCCAGCCAUUAUUAGUUUGCCUCAAACUCUGACCGGCCAUACUGCUAGCCGCAGUGAACAACGCAGUCUUGUGUUUUAUUAAGAAAAAACAUGCUGAAAAAACAUGUCAACCAUAACAGCCACGGAAACACAUUAGACUAUGUUAAUACUAUCGAGAAGGGAACCAUAAAGAGGAGCUUGGAGUGGGCAAGGGGUGGCUGAUAAAGCAGCAGAGAAGACCUGAUUCAACAAGUAUCACGCUUAACUCUGGUGAUUCUCAUCUGGUUGGCAUGCACAACACUGCAAGGCAAAACGUCUUUACCUACCGUAGGAUGGAGAGCCGCUGGUUGGCAGUUUUGACUGCAGUGUCUGUGUGGGUGUACCAGGAAAGAACGUUAGAAGUAAGGUCCCCAUGAUACCGAAGCUUCUUACCAUCUCCACUGCAGCCCAGUCGAUAUCGAUUUUAAAAACUGGAACAAUAGAUAUCGUGUAGCACAUGGUAGCAAAAAUUCACUGAACCAACUUCAGUUUGCCUGUUGUCCGAACCCAUUUGUCAAUUAUGCAUUUUACAUAUGUCAGAGUGCGUUUCCUUUUAUAGCUCUGCUUUCAACACCAUCCUGACCCACAAACUGGUUAGCAGACUCAGGCCUCUGGGUGUAAACCCAGUAAUAACAAAUGAGAUUUUUUACAUUAUCAUAAGAAUGUGUAUCCCCAGAAUGUACCCGACCCAACCAUGGUACACAUGAGUACAUGAAGGAGCUGUGGGACCUGACAUAAGGGUGAUAGGACAACAGUCUCAGCGUAAGCAAAACGGUGAGACUUAAUGACCAUUCUCCCAUCUACUGUACAUUACCAUGGAGAUGAUCAGCAGCUUUAAGUUCCUGGGCACCCUGAUAUCCUUUUCUGCCCCCAGUCACUUCACUCAUAAAGUCCCACCAGUGCUUCUCCACUACCCUCAUCAACUUGCUGCACCACGACCAAUGUACCAACUACAGUGUCUGUUUCUAUGGCCAUAACACAUUUAAAUGAAAUGUCCAUAUUUACUGUAAGAUUUAUUUAUGGUAACAUUGCACAUAUUGUAACAUUAUAGUCCCUUGACAUACACUAGGGGUGACAGGUAGCCUAGUGGUUAGAGCAUUGGACUAGUGACCAGAAGGUUGUAAGAUCGAAUCCCCGAGCUGACAAGGUAAAAAUCUGUCGUUCUGCCCCUGAACAAGGCAGUUAACCCACUGUUCCUAGGCCAUCAUUGAAAAUAAGAAUUUGUUCUUAACUGACUUGCCUAGUUAACUAAAGGUAAUAAAAAUACACUACUUUGCAUAAUGCUCAGUUUACCCACUAAGAAAUCAUACAUUUAUUAAAGCUGCAUUUUGUAUUACUGUGUCCAACUUUUUUUGCUGAUGGCCGAUCCUGUUGGAAACUUUCAUAAUAUCAACCGUUUUGGGACACAUCACCAAUUAACAUUGGCUGCAGUAUUCUGAACUUUACUACGUAGUCAUGCAAUAAACAUUUUGGAUAAUUCCCUUAAAUGAAUUCCCUUUAAAUCAAAUACAAUUUUAUUUGUCAUAUGCUCCGAAUACAACCGGUGUAGACAUUACGGUGAAAUGCUUACUUCCAAGCCCUUAACCAACAAUGCACUUAAGAAAAAUACAUACAAAAAAAUAAAUGUUGGUGAUUGUAAAAUUCACUCUCCAUUUUCUCCCUGAAGGCUGCGUAGGGUUGGAUGUGUUGGCAGCCUUAAAACAAUGCUGCAUGUAUUUGCUUCCGGAACAUCCUGGCAGCCUCAUUCUCUUGUUUGUGUAAGAAUUGUAGCUGUGGCUCCACUGGGAAUCCCAGCCUAGGAAUGGCCGAAGCCCCGGAAGUGAAAAUGAGAAUCUUCUCCAGGGUUAAAGGGUGGGGAGAGCAUUGCUGUGAAGAGAGAAGAUUUGUCUUUGGCCAAAAGAGGUUUCUCAGCGUAGAUGAAAACCUCUGAAGAGGCUUGAGUGUCUAUUCAUGGAUGACUUACUCAUUGUCAUUACCAACAUCAACAGACGAGAGUGGACUCCAUGGAGGGGAGGCCACAUAUUGUGGUGAAGGUGGACGAUAAGCCUCAGGGAAUGGUGGAGGGAAGGCCGCAGGAAGUGGUAUAGGUGGAGGGAAGGCCACAGGAAGUUGCACUGG